rnacentral:lncRNA from 1 species
AGGGUUUUUCGUGUCUCAAUCUCCUUCACCUCAGCUCUGAUCUUAGUUAUUUCUUGUCUUCUGCUGGGAUUUGAGUUUUUUUGGUCUUGGUCCUCUAGCUCUUUCAAUUUUGACGAUAGGGUGUCAAUUUUGGAUCUCUCCAUUCUCCUCAUAUGGGCACUUAUUGCUAUAUACUUUCCUCUAGAGACUGCUUUAAAUGUGUCCCAGAGGUUCUGGCAUGUUGUGUCUUCGUUCUCAUUGGUUUCGAAGAACUUCUUUAUUUCUGCCUUCAUUUCGUUGUUUACCCAGUCAACAUUCAAGAGCCAGUUGUUCAGUUUCCAUGAAGCUGUGCGGGCAUAUAUAUUUAGGAUAGUUAGCUCUUCUUGUUGGAUUGAUCCUUUUACCAUUAUGUAGUAUCUUUCUUUGUCUCUUCUGAUCUUUGUUGGUUUGAAGUCCAUUUUAUCAGAGACUAGGAUUGCAACCCCUGCUUGUUUUUUGUUCUCCAUUUGCUUGGUAAAUCUUCUUCCAUCCCUUUAUAUUGAGUCUAUGUGUGUCUUUGUAUGUGAGAUGGGUUCCUUGAAUACAUCACACCGAUGGGUUCUGACUUUUUAUCCAGUUUGCCAGUCUGUGUCUUUUGAUUUGGACAUUUAGGCCAUUUACAUUCAAUGUUACUAUUGUUAUGUGUGAAUUUGAUUCUGCCAUUUUGUUACUGGCUGGUUUUCUUUCCCAUUAGUUGCCUCAUUUUCUUCAUUGCAUUUUUGGUCUUUGUCCACUGGUUUGCUUUUGCAGUGACUGGCACUUGUUCCUGUCUGUGCUUAUUGUUUCUUUCAGGAGCUCUUGUAGGGCAGGUGUGGUGGUGACAAAAUCUCUCAGUAAUUGCUUGUCCAUAAAGGAUUUAAUUUCUCCUUCACUCAUGAAGCUUAGCUUGGCUGAAUAUGAGAUUCUGGGUUGAAAUUUCUUUUCUUAAAGGAUGUUGAAUAUUGGCUCCCACUCUCUUCUGGCUUGUAGGGUUUCUGCCAAGAGAUCCACUGUGAGUCUGACUGACUUCCCUCUGUGGGUGACCUGACCUUUCUCUAUGGCUGCCCUUAGCAUUUUUUUCUUAAUUUGAACCCUGGUGAAUCUGACAAUUAUGUGCCUUGGGGGUUGCUCUCUAUCUUUGUGGAGUUCUCUGUAUUUCUUAAAUUUGAAAUUUGGACUGUCUUGCUAGGCUUGGGACGUUCUCCUGGAUAAUAUCCUGGAGCAUGUUUUCCGGCUUGGAUUCAUUCUCCCCAUCAUAUUCAGGUACACUGAUCAAGCCUAAGUUAGGUCUUUUCACAUAAUCCCUUAUUUCUUGGAGGCUUUGUUCAUUUCUUUUCACUCUUUUCUCUCUUGUCUUGCCUUCUUUUUUUAUUUCAUUGAGUUGAUCUUCAAUCUCUGAUAUCGUUUCUUCUGCUUGAUUGAUUCGGCUGUUAAAACUUGUGUUUGCUUCAUGUAGUUCUCGUGCUGUGUUUUCAACUCCAUCAAGUCAUUUAUUUUCUUCUCUAAGCUGGUUAUUCUAGUUAGCAUUUCAUCUAACCUUUUUUUUAAGGUUUUUGGGUUUUUUUGUAUUGAGUUAGAAUGUGUUCCUUUAGCUCAGAAAACUUUAUUAUCCACCUUCUGAAGCCUGUUUCUGUCAAUUUGUCACACUCCUUCUCAGUCAUGAUGUCAUCCUGUGUUGUUGAGGAGUUGUGAUCCUUUGAAGGAGAAGAGGUGUUCUGGUCUUCGAUUGUUUCAUCUUUUUUGCUCUGUUUUUUUCCCAUCUUUGUGGGUUUAUCUGGCUGUGUUUUCAGGGAGCUGCUUGAUGAGUUCACUUCUCUGCCUGUGGAAACACUACUGGGUUUCUAGGGACUCCUUUAGGUCACUAGGGAAGCUUCCUGUGUCUUUUUUAUUUAUGCUGGGAGAUUAAGCCCACCUAUUCUGCUGACCUGUAGGUGCUGCUGGGUUAUCAAGAAUGCAGUCUCAUUGCUACAUAGGCUUCCUAUGUUUUUUGUUAAAACAUGUAGCCCAGUCCCAGCCCUUUAAUGGUGGGUUAUGCCCUUCUUCCACUGGGCUGAAUUAUUCAGGGUUCAGCUCAGGCUGUGGCACUGGCUGCA